rnacentral:piRNA from 1 species
UGAUUUGGAUAUUCCUAAUUUCUUGGUCC